rnacentral:rRNA from 1 species
AGAGUUUGAUCCUGGCUCAGAUUGAACGCUGGCGGCAUGCCUUACACAUGCAAGUCGAACGCGAAAGGGGGGCAACUCCUGAGUAGAGUGGCGAACGGGUGAGUAACACAUCGGAACGUGCCUGGUAGUGGGGGAUAACCUCUCGAAAGAGAGGCUAAUACCGCAUGAGACCUGAGGGUGAAAGCGGGGGACCGGCGACGGCCUCGCGCUACUGGAGCGGCCGAUGUCCGAUUAGCUAGUUGGUGGGGUAACGGCCCACCAAGGCUGCGAUCGGUAGCUGGUCUGAGAGGACGACCAGCCACACUGGAACUGAGACACGGUCCAGACUCCUACGGGAGGCAGCAGUGGGGAAUUUUGGACAAUGGGGGCAACCCUGAUCCAGCCAUGCCGCGUGGGUGAAGAAGGCCUUCGGGUUGUAAAGCCCUUUCGGCGGGGACGAAAUCGGUCGGGUGAAUAGCCUUGCUGGAUGACGGUACCCGCAGAAGAAGCACCGGCUAACUACGUGCCAGCAGCCGCGGUAAUACGUAGGGUGCAGGCGUUAAUCGGAAUUACUGGGCGUAAAGCGUGCGCAGGCGGUCUCUUAAGACAGGUGUGAAAUCCCCGGGCUUAACCUGGGAAACUGCGCUUGUUUACUGGGAGGCUGGAGUGUGGCAGAGGGGGGUGGAAAUUCCACGUGUAGCAUGAAAUGCGUAAGAUGUGGGAGGAACACCGAUGCGAAGGCAGCCCCCUUGGGCUUAACACUGACGCUUCAUGCACCGAAAGCGUGGGGAGCAACCAGGAUUAAAUUACCUGGUAGUCCAACGGCCCUUAACUAUGUUCACUUGGUUUGUCGGGGAAGCAUUUCCUUGGUAACGAAGCUAACGCGUGAAGUUGACCGCCUGGGGAGUACGNCCGCAAGGUUAAAACUCAAAGGAAUUGACGGGGACCCGCACAAGCGGUGGAUUAUGUGGAUUAAUUCGAUGCAACGCGAAAAACCUUACCUACCCUUGACAUGUGAGGAACCUCUCAGAGAUGGGAGGGUGCCCGAAAGGGAGCCUCAACACAGGUGCUGCAUGGCUGUCGUCAGCUCGUGUCGUGAGAUGUUGGGUUAAGUCCCGCAACGAGCGCAACCCUUGCCAUUAGUUGCUACGUUUCGGACGAGCACUCUAAUGGGACUGCCGGUGACAAACCGGAGGAAGGUGGGGAUGACGUCAAGUCCUCAUGGCCCUUAUGGGUAGGGCUUCACACGUAAUACAAUGGCCGGUACAGAGGGCAGCCAACCCGCGAGGGGGAGCUAAUCCCAGAAAGCCGGUCGUAGUCCGGAUUGCAGUCUGCAACUCGACUGCAUGAAGCCGGAAUCGCUAGUAAUCGCGGAUCAGCAUGCCGCGGUGAAUACGUUCCCGGGUCUUGUACACACCGCCCGUCACACCAUGGGAGUGGGUUUCACCAGAAGUAGUUAGCCUAACCGCAAGGAGGGCGACUACCACGGUGAGAUUCAUGACUGGGGUGAAGUCGUACAAGGUAGCCGUAUCGGAAGGUGCGGCUGGAUCACCUCCUU